AGUGAACGCUGGCGGUAGGCCUAACACAUGCAAGCCGAACGGCAGCACAGUAAGAGCUUGCUCUUACGGGUGGCGAGUGGCGGACGGGUGAGGAAUACAUCGGAAUCUACUUUUUCGUGGGGGAUAACGUAGGGAAACUUACGCUAAUACCGCAUACGACCUACGGGUGAAAGCAGGGGAUCUUCGGACCUUGCGCGAUUGAAUGAGCCGAUGUCGGAUUAGCUAGUUGGCGGGGUAAAGGCCCACCAAGGCGACGAUCCGUAGCUGGUCUGAGAGGAUGAUCAGCCGCACUGGAACGGAGACACGGUCCAGACUCCUACGGGAGGCAGCAGUGGGGAAUAUUGGACAAUGGGCGCAAGCCUGAUCCAGCCAGACCGCGUGGGUGAAGAAGGCCUUCGGGUUGUAAAGCCCUUUUGUUGGGAAAGAAAAGCAGCAGGUUAAUACCCCGCUGUUCUGACGGUACCCAAAGAAUAAGCACCGGCUAACUUCGUG
rnacentral:rRNA from 1 species